CGGUUUGAGGGGUGUUAGCGGCCGCGGGGGCUGUCCGGGCUGCGUGUGCGCGUCCCCGGUGCGGCGGCGGGGAGGGGGCUGUGCUGUGCCGUGUUCCCCCCCCCCCCCCUCUCCCCGCCCGUUCCCGGCCUGGGACUCUUUCUCUCCCGCUCCCCCCCCCCCCCCCCCCUCGCUCCUAAGCGGGAGUUUCCAGGAAGCGCUGAGAAGAGCCGCAGCACCGCGCAGCCUCUCGCACAGCGAGCUCCUUCCGCCGAGACCGUGGCAGGAACGCCAAGUAGUCCCAACCGCCUCUCCUCCUUCACCCGGAAAAAAGCUCCGUCCCGCUCUCCCGUAGCGGGAUACCGUUAGAGAAACGGGGAGAAAAGUCUUCCUCUCCCCCGCCCUCACCCCGCGGCCUUGGCCGGGAUAAGUCGGAAGGAAGCGGAGAGGGGGAGGGGAGGUGAAAAAGUGCCGGCGCCGGCGGAGGGGUCCGGAGUCGCGGAGGAGUGAGGAGGCACGGGGAGCUCUGCGCGAGGGAGGGGGGUGAGCGGGAAAACGCGGCGCGGAGCCGGGAACAGCGCCCCCUCCCCCUCCCGUGGCGGGGGGGGUGUCUCUGAGGGGGCGGCCGGCAGCCCGCCGCCUCACGGCUCCCCUCGCCGGGGCGAACGGCAAAGUUCCGGGAAACUUUCCCCGGGUUUAGGGUGAGGGUCUGGGGUCGUGCUUAAAUAUCCCACCACCCGCGACGCGGUGUCUUCCUGGCAGCAUUGGGCUGCCAUCUACAAAGUGCUGAUGAUCCCCCAUGAACUGCUGAGUCAUCAAAGAACAUGCGUCUUUCACAGGACCAGGCCCGCCUUUUAGAGGUCCCCGAUGGCGAGGCGAUUUUAUGAAAUACUCCAGAAGAAAGUCACGAAGGUGAAAUUGCGGCGACCCAGCCGUGACUGCGGAUGGUCCCCCCGUCCCCCCCCACCCAGGCCAUCCCGCCCCUGUUCCACGACCCCGGACCGAAGCCGCCGAUCAGGUCAGUGAAGCUCGGUGGCGGGGGGCUCGCACCCCGGGCCGGGCCGGCAGCCGUUCGUCGGGGGCUCCUCCGGUCAGCCCCCGCCGGUCCUGGGAUAUUUUCAGAGCUCAGCCUGUCGGGCAACCGGGCGCCUUUGAAAAUCUGGCGCUAGAUGUCUUCGGCACCUGGAGAUCGCGCACAUGACUCCGUAAUUGUGCACCCUGCGGAGUAGCAUUGUGUUUAGCCACACGUUAAAACAGCCGCUUCAGAGCGAGUUCCGAUGGCUGGGGUGUGACUCCUCAUUACAAAGCGCAGAAUAACGCUUUUCAGCCAAUUGCCCUUCCCUGGUGGGUGUCCCCCCCCUUCCAUUUUUGGUUGCUGUUUGAUUUCUCCCGACCCCGAAGCCGGCGGUUCCGUGCCGCAUCUGCCCUGCGCUCUCAGCUCAGGGCUGUUGAACUUCACUCCCCGAGCAGCCGCAGAGGUCGCUUCUGAGCAGCACGAAAAGGGUUGUGUUUUUUUUUUUUUUUUAAUCCCCCCCCCACAAGGCUCUCAGUCCCUCAUGGCCGGAGUGGAAAAGCACGUUUAAAUCCUGAACUCGGAUUUCCCACGUGGUGUCUGGUUGAGCUGCUGUCACAGCCACGCCGCGCACUCCCUUGCACAGGGCAAAGGCGCAUCUCUCCUGCCUCUGCUGAGAAUGCAGGUGGUGAUUAAUAUUUUUAAUGAAGCGGUAUUUUCAGGACACUGCACUGAAAACCAAACUUGUGCGAAAAGCUAGCACUCGUCAUCAGCAGGAUCCUGCUUUCUGAAUCCACCACCAAGUGUACAAAUAAUGAGGGGAUUAAAGUUCUACUCCACCUUC